GACGAACGCUGGCGGCGUGCUUAACACAUGCAAGUCGAACGGAAAGGCCCUGCUUUUGUGGGGUGCUCGAGUGGCGAACGGGUGAGUAACACGUGAGUAACCUGCCCUUGACUUUGGGAUAACUUCAGGAAACUGGGGCUAAUACCGGAUAGGAGCUCCUGACGCAUGGUGGGGGUUGGAAAGUUUCGGCGGUUGGGGCUGGACUCGCGGCUUAUCAGCUUGUUGGUGGGGUAGUGGCUUACCAAGGCUUUGACGGGUAGCCGGCCUGAGAGGGUGACCGGCGACAUUGGGACUGAGAUACGGCCCAGAAGGGUACGGGAGGCAGCAGUGGGGAAUAUUACGGAAUGGGCGGAAGCCUGAUGCAGCAACCCCGCGUGCGGGAUGACGGCUUUCGAGUUGUAAACAGCUUUCGACUGUGACGAAGAGUGAGUGACGGUAAUGGGUAAAGAAGCACCGGCUAACUACGUG
rnacentral:rRNA from 1 species